CCUACGGGAGGCAGCAGUGGGGAAUAUUGGACAAUGGGCGCAAGCCUGAUCCAGCCAUGCCGCGUGUGUGAAGAAGGCCUUCGGGUUGUAAAGCACUUUCAGCGAGGAGGAAGGGAUGUAUGUUAAUAGCAUGCAUUUUUGACGUUACUCGCAGAAGAAGCACCGGCUAACUCUGUGCCAGCAGCCGCGGUAAUACAGAGGGUGCAAGCGUUAAUCGGAAUUACUGGGCGUAAAGCGCACGUAGGCGGUUUUUUAAGUCAGAUGUGAAAGCCCCGGGCUCAACCUGGGAAUUGCAUUUGAAACUGGGGAACUAGAGUGUGUGAGAGGGGGGUAGAAUUCCAAGUGUAGCGGUGAAAUGCGUAGAGAUUUGGAGGAAUACCAGUGGCGAAGGCGGCCCCCUGGCACAACACUGACGCUCAGGUGCGAAAGCGUGGGGAGCAAACAGGAUUAGAUACCCUGGUAGUCCACGCCGUAAACGAUGUCUACUAGCUGUUCGUGUCCUUGUGUAUGUGUAGUAGCGCAGCUACGACACUAAGUAGACCGCCGUCGGGAGGUACGGUCGCGAGAGUUAAACGUACGAAAGAAGUUAGUACGGACGUUGAGACGNGCCGACGGACGACGACGAGGGAGGAGG
rnacentral:rRNA from 1 species